GACGAACGCUGGCGGCGUGCUUAACACAUGCAAGUCGAACGGAAAGGCCCUGCUUGCAGGGUACUCGAGUGGCGAACGGGUGAGUAACACGUGGGUGAUCUGCCCUGCACUUCGGGAUAAGCUUGGGAAACUGGGUCUAAUACCGGAUAGGAACCAUCUUUAGUGUGGUGGUUGGAAAGUUUUUUCGGUGUAGGAUGAGCUCGCGGCCUAUCAGCUUGUUGGUGGGGUAAUGGCCUACCAAGGCGGCGACGGGUAGCCGGCCUGAGAGGGUGUACGGCCACAUUGGGACUGAGAUACGGCCCAGACUCCUACGGGAGGCAGCAGUGGGGAAUAUUGCACAAUGGGCGCAAGCCUGAUGCAGCGACGCCGCGUGGGGGAUGAAGGCCUUCGGGUUGUAAACUCCUUUCGCUAGGGACGAAGCUUUUUUGUGACGGUACCGAGAUAAGAAGCACCGGCUAACUACGU
rnacentral:rRNA from 1 species